rnacentral:rRNA from 1 species
CCUACGGGAGGCUGCAGUGGGGAAUAUUGGACAAUGGGGGCAACCCUGAUCCAGCCAUGCCGCGUGUGUGAAGAAGGCCCUCGGGUUGUAAAGCACUUUCAGUGAGGAAGAACGCCUGGUGGUUAAUACCCAUCAGGAAAGACAUCACUCACAGAAGAAGCACCGGCUAACUCCGUGCCAGCAGCCGCGGUAAUACGGAGGGUGCGAGCGUUAAUCGGAAUUACUGGGCGUAAAGCGCGCGUAGGUGGCUUGAUAAGCCGGUUGUGAAAGCCCCGGGCUCAACCUGGGAACGGCAUCCGGAACUGUCAAGCUAGAGUGCAGGAGAGGAAGGUAGAAUUCCCGGUGUAGCGGUGAAAUGCGUAGAGAUCGGGAGGAAUACCAGUGGCGAAGGCGGCCUUCUGGACUGACACUGACACUGAGGUGCGAAAGCGUGGGUAGCAAACAGGAUUAGAUAUCCCGGUAGUC